GGUUAAGGCUUACCAAGGUUGUUGAGUGCCGAGUUUUAAAGGAUUCUCUGGCAUGUUUUACGUCUCUGUUGAAGGUAUAUUCUAACAAGUGCAAUCAAUGGUGAAGAAUGUCCACCGUAAAAGAGAAGCCAUCAUAAAAGCUCUUUGUCCACACCUGAAUGAUGAUGAUGGAUUUCUUAUCAAGGAGUACAGGGACAUUCUUGGUGAAGACAUACUGAGAGACCAGCACAGCACUGAAAUUGAUAUUCAUGUCAUCAGAAGAGGGUGGAGCUCUUGGAGAAUAUGAUGGAAACG